rnacentral:rRNA from 1 species
AUGCUUACAAACCUGGAAGUACUAGACCUGAGUUACAACUUCUUAUCAGGGAGUGUCCCCGCCUCUAUUUACAACAUAUCAACACUCACAUAUCUUGCCAUGGGUGCAAAUAUUUUGGCAGGGGAAAUUCCAUAUAACAUUGGUUAUACACUUCCAAGUAUCCAAUCUUUAGUUAUGGGAGUGAACAAAUUCCACGGCCAAAUCCCCACUUCACUAUCCAACACAACAAAUCUUAUAAAGAUUGAUCUCCAUAGCAAUUCAUUCCAUGGUAUUGUGCCUUCUUUUGGGACUCUGCCCAACUUACUCCACCUGAAUCUAGGCGAGAGUUACCUCAGAGCAGGAGAUUGGUCUUUCUUAACAUCAUUAACCAACUGCACCCAACUGGAGAAAUUAUUCUUGAAUGCCAAUAUCCUUCAAGGAGACUUGCCAAGUUCCAUUGGAUGA